rnacentral:rRNA from 1 species
AGACCCGAAACCCGGUGAUCUAGCCAUGGGCAGGUUGAAGGUUGGGUAACACUAACUGGAGGACCGAACCGACUAAUGUUGAAAAAUUAGCGGAUGACCUGUGGCUGGGGGUGAAAGGCCAAUCAAACCGGGAGAUAGCUGGUUCUCCCCGAAAGCUAUUUAGGUAGCGCCUCGUGAAUUCAUCUCCGGGGGUAGAGCACUGUUUCGGCUAGGGGGCCAUCCCGGCUUACCAACCCGAUGCAAACUGCGAAUACCGGAGAAUGUUAUCACGGGAGACACACGGCGGGUGCUAACGUCCGUCGUGAAGAGGGAAACAACCCAGACCGCCAGCUAAGGUCCCAAAGUCAUGGUUAAGUGGGAAACGAUGUGGGAAGGCCCAGACAGCCAGGAUGUUGGCUUAGAAGCAGCCAUCAUUUAAAGAAAGCGUAAUAGCUCACUGGUCGAGUCGGCCUGCGCGGAAGAUGUAACGGGGCUAAACCAUGCACCGAAGCUGCGGCAGCGACGCUGAUGCGUUGUUGGGUAGGGGAGCGUUCUGUAAGCCUGCGAAGGUGGCCUGUGAGGGUUGCUGGAGGUAUCAGAAGUGCGAAUGCUGACAUAAGUAACGAUAAAGCGGGUGAAAAGCCCGCUCGCCGGAAGACCAAGGGUUCCUGUCCAACGUUAAUCGGGGCAGGGUGAGUCGACCCCUAAGGCGAGGCCGAAAGGCGUAGUCGAUGGGAAACGGGUUAAUAUUCCCGUACUUGGUGUUACUGCGAAGGGGGGACGGAGAAGGCUAUGUUGGCCGGGCGACGGUUGUCCCGGUUUAAGCGUGUAGGUGUGUGUUCCAGGUAAAUCCGGUUCACUUUAACACUGAGGCGUGAUGACGAGGCACUACGGUGCUGAAGCAACAAAUGCCCUGCUUCCAGGAAAAGCCUCUAAGCAUCAGGUAACAUCAAAUCGUACCCCAAACCGACACAGGUGGUCAGGUAGAGAAUACCAAGGCGCUUGAGAGAACUCGGGUGAAGGAACUAGGCAAAAUGGUGCCGUAACUUCGGGAGAAGGCACGCUGACACGUAGGUGAAGUGAUUUACUCAUGGAGCUGAAGUCAGUCGAAGAUACCAGCUGGCUGCAACUGUUUAUUAAAAACACAGCACUGUGCAAACACGAAAGUGGACGUAUACGGUGUGACGCCUGCCCGGUGCCGGAAGGUUAAUUGAUGGGGUCAGCGCAAGCGAAGCUCCUGAUCGAAGCCCCGGUAAACGGCGGCCGUAACUAUAACGGUCCUAAGGUAGCGAAAUUCCUUGUCGGGUAAGUUCCGACCUGCACGAAUGGCGUAAUGAUGGCCAGGCUGUCUCCACCCGAGACUCAGUGAAAUUGAACUCGCUGUGAAGAUGCAGUGUACCCGCGGCAAGACGGAAAGACCCCGUGAACCUUUACUAUAGCUUGACACUGAACAUUGAGCCUUGAUGUGUAGGAUAGGUGGGAGGCUUUGAAGUGUGGACGCCAGUCUGC